rnacentral:rRNA from 1 species
UACAUGGGGUGCAAACGUUGCUCGGAAUUAUUGGGCGUAAAGCGCGCGUAGGCGGUUACUCAAGUCGGAUGUGAAAGCCCUCGGCUUAACUGAGGAAGUGCACCCGAAACUGAGUAGCUAGAGUACUAAAGAGGGUCGCGGAAUUCCCGGUGUAGAGGUGAAAUUCGUAGAUAUCGGGAGGAACACCGGUGGCGAAGGCGGCGACCUGGGUAGAUACUGACGCUGAGGCGCGACAGCGUGGGGAGCAAACAGG